rnacentral:rRNA from 1 species
GAUGAACGCUGGCGGCGUGCCUAACACAUGCAAGUCGAGCGAACGGACGAGAAGCUUGCGCCCCUGAUGUUAGCGGCGGACGGGUGAGUAACACGUGUAUAACCUACCUAUAAGACUGGGAUAAUUACGGGAAACCGGAGCUAAUACCGGAUAAUAUUUUGAACCGCAGGGUUCAAAAGUGAAAGACGGUCUUGGUGUCUGUAAUAGAUGGAUCCGCGCUGGAUUAGCUAGUUGGUAAGGUAACGGCUUACCAAGGCAACGAUGCAUAGCCGACCUGAGAGGGUGAUCGGCCACACUGGAACUGAGACACGGUCCAGACUCCUACGGGAGGCAGCAGUAGGGAAUCUUCCGCAAUGGGCGAAAGCCUGACGCAGCAACGCCGCGUGAGUGAUGAAGGUCUUCGGAUCGUAAAGCUCUGUUAUUAGGGAAGAACAUAUGUGUAAGUAACCGUGCACAUCUUGACGGUACCUAAUCAAAAAGCAACGGCUAACUACGUG